AGAUCUUUAAUCCCGCCUAUUUUUUUGCCAAACUGAGCUGUGAUUGGUUUUCUAGACGUCACUCAUCAAGCUCGGUUGCAGUGUGCUGAAUCUUUGGCGUCGCUGUCAUAAGUCAGACAUCACAAACGAGAGAGCUUGCCGGCACGAUGCAGUUCCUGGGCCGUCUUUUGGACACUGUGUCCUCUGUAUCCACACUGUUCACCAACCCUUACCGAGUGAGGGAUGUGCAGCUGUCCGACUACGGCGGGGGAGGGAAAAUCAAGCUGAGACAGGAAGGACGUCUGGUUCUCUAUAAGAAUGCACAGUACCAGUCAUGGGAUUGUGUUCUUAUGUGCCCUGACACACCUGCAGCAGCUCUGAGGCUUUUCCAGGUGGCGUCAGAAGAGGACGCCAUGAACUGGUUCCCGCAGUAUGCACUUAAGCUCCCACCUUUCUACGACACUCUCCCACCGAUGAAAGCCGAGACAGCCCAGAUAAUCGUGGACUGCCUGCGCAACCACCCGGAUUGGAGCACCGCUCACAUCGCCGUGGACACGGGGCUCAGGGAGUGUCUGAAGCACAACCAAGUACAAAGUGAGAUCAACAAAAGGGAUGUGCUCGGUCAGACGCCGAUGCAUCUGGCAUGCGAACGAAGUGACGCGGCUUGCGUGAAAGAGCUGCUGGAGGAGAGCCAGGCUCGCACGGACAUCCGAGACAACCAGGGAGAGACGCCCAUGCACAUUGCCGCCAAGCACGACUCCCCCGCCGUCAUUCAGAUCUUGUGCUCACGCUUGUGCUCGGGCGUGAACGAGCUGAACAACAUCGGGGAGACGCCACUUCACGUGUCCUGCCGUCUGGGACGAGUGGAGGCUGUCAAAGCGCUCUUGGGUGGCGGGGCUAAAUGCAACGUCCCAGGUGGUGUUGGCUACCCGAUCCACUCUGCUAUGAAGUACAGUGAAAAGAGCUGUACAGAAGAAAUCUUGAAAGCAGACCCUGACCAGCUCCACGCAGAGGACUCUUUGUAUGGAGGCACGCCCCUCCACUGGGCUAAAACAGCCGAGAUGUGUCGCAUGCUGCUGGAGCGAGGCAGUGCCAUCAACUACCUCAGUAAGACAGGCGAAAGUGCCCUCCACAUUUGCACCAAGAAGGGUCGCUUCGAGGCCGCUAUGGUUUUGCUCACGCAUGGCGCAAAUGCAAACCUGAAAGGACAGGACGGCAACACGGCGUUGCACUUCGCGAUGAAGAUGGAUCACAUGGAGUUGAUCAAAGCGCUAAUAGUGUUUGGGGCCGAUGUGGAGAUCCACAACGAUUUGGGAGAGACGCCGGGACUGAUCGCUGCUCGGACCAGUAAAGGUCCCAAUAGAAAAAUACUGCUGGAUAUGCUGUGUAGUGUGGGUGUGCAACGCUGCCUACCUCCCUCACCAAGCAGCCCCCCACCCAUCACCAACAAGGCUGCAACUCAAGGCAUAGGGUUUGAAGACAUAAUGCAUGUUGGGGCUGCGUUCGCUGCUAUGAGCGGAGGCAAGUCGGAGGUGGACGGUUCCAAGAGGAGGAUGGAUACUCUGUUGUGUCUGGACGGUGGUGGAAUCAGGGGGCUGGUUCUGAUCCAGAUGCUGAUCGCUCUGGAGAAAGAGGCCGGCCGGCCUAUCAGGGAGCUCUUCGACUGGGUUGCCGGUACCAGCACAGGCGGCAUCCUGGCCCUUGCCAUAGUCCAUGGGAAGUCAAUGGAGUACCUCCGCUGCUUGUACUUUCGAAUGAAGGAGCAGGUGUUCAAAGGCUCCAGACCUUACGAGUCAGCUCCACUGGAGGACUUCUUGAAGAAAGAGUUUGGAGAGAAUACCAAAAUGGCAGAUGUUCAGUACCCCAGGGUGAUGGUGACCAGUGUUCUAGCCGACCGCCACCCAGGAGAACUCCACAUUUUCAGGAACUACGACCCUCCUGCUACCCACAGAGAGUCCCCGUACGCCACUACAGCAACCUUCAAGCCCCUCACCAUCCCUCAAGGAUGGGAGGAUGAGGAUUUGUUACUAGUAGGAUACACAAUGGAGCCAGCCAAUAAGCGUAGGAAGGUGACAAAUGAAGAGCAACUUGUGUGGCGAGCGGCCCGCUCCAGUGGCGCCGCCCCAACUUAUUUCCGGCCAAUGGGACGCUUCCUGGACGGAGGGUUGUUGGCCAAUAACCCUACGCUCGACGCUAUGUCAGAGGUCCAUCAGUACUACAAAGUGAUGAAAGCGGAGGGUCAUGGAGUUCAGAUCAAGAAGCUGGGUCUAGUUGUUUCUCUUGGAACUGGAAAGCCUCCUCAAGUGGCGGUGAGUUCCGUGGAUGUUUUCCGGCCCUCCAAUCCUCUGGAGCUAGCUAAGAGCAUCGUAGGAGCUAAGGAGCUGGGAAAGAUGUUGGUGGACUGCUGUACUGACUCAGAUGGUUGCGCUGUGGACCGAGCCAGUGCUUGGUGUGAAAUGAUCGACACCAUCUACCACAGACUUAGCCCACAACUGUCCCAGGAGGUGAUGUUGGACGAGGUGAGCGACGCCAUUCUGGUGGAAAUGCUUUGGGAAACGCAGAUGUACCUGUACGACAAGCGAGAGGUGCUGCAAUCCCUGGCCAAAGUGCUAUUGGGCAAUUAGAAAGUACGUGAGUGGACGCUCAGAAACGAGGGUCUUUGAGGAUAGAAAAGUAAAGCUAGAAAUCUGUGAGUUAACAUUUAUUUAUAUGCAAAUCAGUGAUUGACAUGGAGGCCUUCAUGUGAUCACAACAUCUAAAGUCGAACAACAGAUGGCGCCCAAAGUCAGAAACAACCAUUAAGGAAUACAGUUUAUAGUCCAGAUUUCCAGAUUUUUUCUAUAAGCCAUAGCAACGCCCUUGACAACGAAAAUGCUCUUCUUUGACAAUUUUUGGAAAUUCCGUCACACCGAGAACUGCGAGGGAAGUCCGCCAUAAACACAGUAUUGUUGCAUUGCUUCUCGGUAAGAUGCCACAGCGGUGUGUGGCAAUGUAUUGUUCUCAAUCUAAAGAAAAGUUGUAUGAGUGGCUGAAGGAUAGCAGGGCACGUAAAUGGACAUCUUUUGUUCGCAAUCAGCGAAGGAAUUUCACGCCAUCAUCGAGAUGUGUUCUCUGCUACGAAGAAUUGGAAGAUGCCUGCUUCCUCAACUGGUCUGCUUAUGAUCAAGGAUUUGCAAAAAAGGACUUGCACUCUGAAGCCACCGUGUUGCGUUACCGUAAUGCACAUAAUGCGAGCAAUGAUCCAAAUGCGGGAUGGUGAGCUGGACUUCGUUGUUCCUUGUGGAGGAUGGCCUGACCGCAGUAGUUUUGCAGGUAAGCAAGUUCACACAAUUUAAUGUUACGCUAACUCUGAUGCAGGUCAGACUUCGGAUUCUGAUAUCCCUUCUCUUCGAAGGGGGCGAUGGAGGCGGCAUGUUGUCGACAUGAAUCUGUUGGGGCUAUGUGAGUGUGCGUGUGUCUGUGUGGUGGGGGGUUCAAGUCAUCAGCCAAUCAAACGUGCAUUUGAGGGCAAAAAAACAGCACAUUCAGUAAUUAAAAAAGGGAUAAAUGUAAGUCUAUUCUAUCCUUACAACUAAAGAUAUCCCGAUCGAUUGGGUUCGAUCACGCCAUUUUCAAAGUAUCGGAAUCGGCAAAACAAUAUCGGACAUGCCUUUUUUUAAUAUAUAAAUAUAUUUUAUUUAAAUCGUUUUCUAAUUGUAUUUAACGUUACAGACAAAAUGUCUUACACUCAUCCAGAGUAGUUUUGGCUUUAAGUAGGGCUAUCAAAUUUAUUGCGUUAACAACGGUAAUUAAUGUUUUUCAAUUAAUCACGUUAAUUAAUUAACGCAUGCGCUGCACGACCCACUCACGCAUUAACGCGUUCAAUCUAUAAAGGCGCAGUUUUACCUAUAGACCCUACCCACCGACGUCACAAAACCACGUGCUCGCUGUAUGGUUCCGCCCACUUGUCCGUCAUUUUGUCUCUGUAUUAGCAUUGGUUUCAAUUGAUCGAGGAAUUUAAAAUGCAUUUCAUGGAAGACCCGGUCCUUUCUGAUGCCUUAAACUCAUUGGAUGUGUUGCAUAAAAGGCGUUAUGUGGAAAAGCUUUGUUCUAUACAGUCGCCAGAUCAAUAUUUGAUGCCCAAAUCGAUGUUUUUCGACCCACUGUCUUCGCCCUGUCUGCCUGACAUCUGCUACGCUGAUAUUUACAAUUAUCUUGUCCACACAAAAUCAGCCUAUUCUCACGAAAAUUUGAAAAACUUCAAGAGCUUGGAGGCUUAUAAAUACUUCGUUGCUGGUUGGGUGAAACAGGUCCUCGUCCACGAAAAUUCGGCAGGAAUCUAUCUUGUGCUUGGAAAGGUGAGUUACGAAAUUUUCAAUUCAAAAUCUUUUGUUAUUGCUAACAUCCACUGUCAAGUCUAAUGUAUUUCAUGUCGUUUGUC